CAUCAAAGUUCAAACCUCAAACACAAGCUUUCAACUUCUAAAACAAAUAUAUUUUCCUUUUAUUUGUUUCCUUGUAUGAUUGUUUUAAGGUAAUGUGACCAAGAAAGCUCAAAAUAAUGGCAAGACUAAAAGUUGAUAGAA